AUGAGGUCACGGUCAAAUAAAACCUGCGCGACUGACAUAAAGAUCAUUAAAUAUUUCCAUACACCAAAUAUAGUUGACCUAUGGCAUAUAGUAUUAGAUAAAAAGACCAAAACUCAAAAACUUAACUUUGACCACUGAACCAUGAAAAUGAGGUCAAGGUCACAUGACAUCUGCCCGCUAGACAUGUACACCUUACAAUCAUUCCAUACAACAAAUAUAGUAGACCUAUUGCAUAUAGUAUGAGAACAACAGACCAAAACACAAAAUUUAACUAUAACCACUGAACCAUGAAAAUGAGGUCAAGGUCAGAUGACACCUGCCAGUUGGACAUGUACACCUUACAGUCCUUCCAUACACCGAAUAUACUAGCCCUAUUGCUUAUAGUAUCUGAGAUAUGGACUUGACCACCAAAACUUAACCUUGUUCACUGAUCCAUGAAAUGAGGUCGAGGUCAAGUGAAAACUGUCUGACAGACAUGAGGACCUUGCAAGGUACGCACAUAUCAAAUAUAGUUAUCUUAUUACUUAUAAUAAGAGAGAAUUCAACAUUACAAAAAAUUUGAACUUUUUUUUCAAGUGGUCACUGAACCAUGAAAAUGAGGUCAAGGACAUUGGACAUGUGACUGACGGAAACUUCGUAACAUGAGGCAUCUAUAUACAAAGUAUGAAGCAUCCAGGUCUUCCACCUUCUAAAAUAUAAAGCUUUUAAGAAGUUAGCUAACGCCGCCGCCGCCGCCGCCGCCGCC
rnacentral:lncRNA from 1 species